AUGAUCUGGGCCCCUCUCCUCUUCAUCCUCUCUCUGUGCACAGUGUCUAUGACCCAGGCUGGGCUGACUCAGCCCACCUCAGUGUCCAAGGGGCUGGGUCAGACGGCCACCAUCACCUGCACUGGAAACAAUAACAAUGUUGGCAACCAGGGAGCAGGCUGGGUGCAGCAACAUGGGAACCAGGCACCCAAAGCUGUGAUGAAGAGGAAUAACAACCGACCCUCGGGGGUCUCAGAGAGGUUCUCUGGCUCCAGGUCUGGCAAUGUGGCCACCUUGAGCAUCUCUGGGCUCCAGCCUGAAGACGAGGCUAAUUAUUACUGUGCUGCCUGGGACAGCAGCCUCAGCGCUUGCACUGUGGUUGAGGCCCACGGGGAAGUGAGACAAAAACCUGAGCUUCCUCCUACCUGCCUACUACCCAGAGCAUCUCCUGCAAUGGACCUGUGA